CAGAGUUGCUGCUGCUGUUGCUGAAUACCUGAAACUUCCGGAAGCUUCUGAAGCAAGUCUAAGAAAAGCAUGGAUCUUAGAAACAUAAAGACUUGGAUUCAAAUUCUAACCCUGGCACUUCACCAGCUAUGUGACCUUGACAGCCUCCAUUUUCUCACCUGAAAAAUGGAGAUAAUCUUUAAUAGUGUUAUUUUAUGUGUGU
rnacentral:lncRNA from 1 species